rnacentral:rRNA from 1 species
GACGAACGCUGGCGGCGUGCUUAACACAUGCAAGUCCAACGGAAAGGCCCUGCUUUUGUGGGGUGCUCGAGUGGCGAACGGGUGAGUAACACGUGAGUAACCUGCCCUUGACUUUGGGAUAACUUCAGGAAACUGGGGCUAAUACCGGAUAGGAGCUCCUGCUGCAUGGUGGGGGUUGGAAAGUUUCGGCGGUUGGGGAUGGACUCGCGGCUUAUCAGCUUGUUGGUGGGGUAGUGGCUUACCAAGGCUUUGACGGGUAGCCGGCCUGAGAGGGUGACCGGCCACAUUGGGACUGAGAUACGGCCCAGACUCCUACGGGAGGCAGCAGUGGGGAAUAUUGCACAAUGGGCGGAAGCCUGAUGCAGCAACGCCGCGUGCGGGAUGACGGCCUUCGGGUUGUAAACCGCUUUCGCCUGUGACGAAGCGUGAGUGACGGUAAUGGGUAAAGAAGCACCGGCUAACUACGUG